GACGAGCCACCCAAACGUUAUUCGGAAUUACUGGGCUUAAAGGGUGCGUAGGCGGUGCAGCAAGUCGGGAGUGAAAUACCUCAGCUUAACUGAGGAACUGCUCUCGAUACUGCUGUGCUUGAGUGAGACAGAGGUAAGCGGAACUUACGGUGGAGCGGUGAAAUGCGUUGAUAUCGUAAGGAACACCUGUGGCGAAAGCGGCUACUGGGUCUUUCUGA
rnacentral:rRNA from 1 species